ACCAAGGCAACGAUGCGUAGCCGACCUGAGAGGGUGAUCGGCCACACUGGGACUGAGACACGGCCCAGACUCCUACGGGAGGCAGCAGUAGGGAAUCUUCCGCAAUGGACGAAAGUCUGACGGAGCAACGCCGCGUGAGUGAUGAAGGUUUUCGGAUCGUAAAGCUCUGUUGUUAGGGAAGAACAAGUACCGUUCGAAUAGGGCGGUACCUUGACGGUACCUAACCAGAAAGCCACGGCUAACUACGUGCCAGCAGCCGCGGUAAUACGUAGGUGGCAAGCGUUGUCCGGAAUUAUUGGGCGUAAAGGGCUCGCAGGCGGUUCCUUAAGUCUGAUGUGAAAGCCCCCGGCUCAACCGGGGAGGGUCAUUGGAAACUGGGGAACUUGAGUGCAGAAGAGGAGAGUGGAAUUCCACGUGUAGCGGUGAAAUGCGUAGAGAUGUGGAGGAACACCAGUGGCGAAGGCGACUCUCUGGUCUGUAACUGACGCUGAGGAGCGAAAGCGUGGGGAGCGAACAGGAUUAGAUACCCUGGUAGUCCACGCCGUAAACGAUGAGUGCUAAGUGUUAGGGGGUUUCCGCCCCUUAGUGCUGCAGCUAACGCAUUAAGCACUCCGCCUGGGGAGUACGGUCGCAAGACUGAAACUCAAAGGAAUUGACGGGGGCCCGCACAAGCGGUGGAGCAUGUGGUUUAAUUCGAAGCAACGCGAAGAACCUUACCAGGUCUUGACAUCCUCUGACAACCCUAGAGAUAGGGCUUUCCCUUCGGGGACAGAGUGACAGGUGGUGCAUGGUUGUCGUCAGCUCGUGUCGUGAGAUGUUGGGUUAAGUCCCGCAACGAGCGCAACCCUUGAUCUUAGUUGCCAGCAUUCAGUUGGGCACUCUAAGGUGACUGCCGGUGACAAACCGGAGGAAGGUGGGGAUGACGUCAAAUCAUCAUGCCCCUUAUGACCUGGGCUACACACGUGCUACAAUGGACAGAACAAAGGGCUGCAAGACCGCAAGGUUUAGCCAAUCCCAUAAAUCUGUUCUCAGUUCGGAUCGCAGUCUGCAACUCGACUGCGUGAA
rnacentral:rRNA from 1 species